rnacentral:lncRNA from 1 species
UUUCUUUAUCUGCAAUAUUCACAAAAGAAACUCUUUCAAUUUGUCAUUGGUUUAGGAUUUGAUGUCAUGAAAGAAACUAAAGAAAAAAAGUGAUUAUUUUCUUACAUGUUAUGGAGGUAGGAACAAAUGAGGCUCUGCAAAUGAGGUUCUUUUUCAUUAAUCUGGCUUAUCAAGGCUUAUCAAUAAACCAGAAGGGCAUUAAAAAGCAAUCAAACCACCUCACUAAUUAGAUUAGAUAUCAAAGAUCACUGGCACACAAUUAUGUAAAACAAAAAUUCCUGUAAAGUGGUUAGUAUACUAUUCACUAGCACACAAACUGUGAAUAAAAAUUCAUUGUCCUAAAGAUAUGAAAUUCUAAGCAGAAAAAUGAUAUACAACAUAUUGAUAUUAACGUAAUACAAUCACAGUAUAAAAUACAUUCAAACUGACUGAGACCACUUAGUCAAAGUGAGAUGAUAUUUCCUUGUCAAACAAAUCACAUAAUACAUUAUGAACAAGUUAGAUACCA